GUCUCCAUAGCACAACGGAUACUGCGCCUGGCUACGGACCAGGAGACUGAGGGUUCGAAUCCUUCUGGGGACGC
rnacentral:tRNA from 4 species